GCCGUGGAUGCUGCCAUGGGGGAAUGUGCGUGUCAGAGUCUGCGGCGGGGAGUAUUAUUUGAGGUUGUGGAGGCAGGGAGCCGGAGAUUGAGGUGCUCGUACAUGGGAUGAGCUGUGGUAGGAAGGCGAUGAGGAAUUAUAUCUUGGAAAAUACAACGAUUUUCCAACGACGUGGAAAUGAAUUACAGUGAAUUCGGUCGGAUAUAAUAUUGCGCAUCCAAAUUCACAUGGAGGUAGUACCGGUUUAUUCUCUCCUGAGUACAGAUGUUUUUGUUCUGCGGCCAACUGAAGUCCGUGUUCAAAUUUUCAGAAACGUAUCCUCUGUUGUAGCUUUAGCGGUGCAUAGCAACUUAUUGUAAUGGUAUUGAAUAAAUGCAUUCGCUUGCUAAUCAAGCAUCGUCUCUCUCGUUUUCUCA